AACCCAGGUAGGUGUCCUUGCCCUGGAAUCGAACCUAUGAUCCUUUGGUGUGCAUGCCGACGCUCCAACCACUGAGCAACACUGGCCAGCCUUAAUGCCAUAUUUUUAAAAAUAAAAAUUAAUGCAAAAAAAUUUCCAUGUUUGACAAUAAAUCUCACGAUUUUCUAACAGUACCAUGCUGAGCUGUUUUGGAACCGGACGCCAAAGGGAAAGCUGACUCUGUGACUUAAGUUAGCCAGAUACUGAAGGAUAUUGUUGGUAACUGGGCCAGACAUGCAAAGACGAAGAUGAGAAGAGCCCCUGGUCAGGGUAAAGCUGGACAGUUAGAUUCCUUGAGCCAAUGCCUGAAAGAAGUUUCCAGACUCUGGUUUUCAAGAAAAGAUUCAUAUCAUUGAACCUACACACUUUAAUUAACUGAAUCCCAAAGCUUUCUGAUUUAUUGAUUAUGAGAUUGAGAUGUAUAUAAUUUUUAUGGCUUAUGACUUUUUACGUUGACCCCACAAAACAGAUAUUCUGUGUUGUAAGAUGACAACUAUUUCCUAUCUCAAUAUCAGAGUCCACAGUUCUAUAUAGUGUGGCAGUAGUGGACUUUAAUUGCUUUUUCCUUAGAAUCACCAGCACUUGUAUCCAAAGAUCAAACACCACGAAACUGUGGACUCUGUGCCUUGUAACACAAGGGGAAAGCAAAAUAAAAGAUUGAAAAAGCACUCAGCUAGUUGGUCUCGCCUGAGGAUCUAGAUGAGAAUUGAGAUGCUGACACCGAAUAUGUUGGAUUUAAAGAGUUCUCUGUAUCAUUUGUUGUUGAUUUGCUGGUGCUGGAAACAAUGGCAUGGUCCCCUGUAACCAGCAUCAGUUGAAAGUGUGUUCUAUUGUCUUAAACAGGAAGUUCUUCAGACAGGCAUCAUGGGCAUCCGAGGGCUAAUGAGUUUUGUGGAAGAUCAUAGUAAUGAGUUCUUCACUGAUUUGAAGUUGCGAGACACAAAAAUGAUCAUUGAUGGCUAUGCUCUCUUCCACCGGCUCUGCUUCAACUCAAACUUGGAGCUCCGGUAUGGAGGGGACUAUGAUGCUUUUGCAGAUGUUGUACAACAAUUCUUCGAAUCACUGUUUUCUUGUAAUAUAUGUCCAUAUGUUGUAUUAGAUGGAGGAUGUGACAUUUCAGAUAAAAAGCUUACAACUUUGAAGGCUCGAGCUCGAGAGAAGAUCCAGGCGGCCCAUUCCCUUUCUGUUGGUGGGUGUGGGUGUGUGUGUCCCCUACUCAUCCGGGAAGUGUUCAUACAAGUUUUGAUCAAGCUGCGGGUACAUUUUGUCCAGUGCUUUUCAGAAGCGGACCGGGACAUUAUGACGCUGGCUAAUCAUUGGAAUUGCCCUGUGUUAUCGUCGGAUAGUGACUUUUGCAUUUUUGACCUGAAAACUGGGUUUUGCCCAUUGAAUAGCUUUCAGUGGAGAAACGUGAACACUAUCAAGGGCACACAGAGCCAUUAUAUCCCCGCCAAAUGCUUUUCUCUUGAUGCACUCUGCCACUACUUCAGCAAUAUGAAUAAAGCUCUCCUACCUCUCUUUGCGGUGCUAUGCGGAAACGACUACAUUAACCUGCCCAUCAUGGACACGUUCUUAAGUAAAGUACAUCUUCCUCUGGGAGCUGCCAGUGCUAAGGGGAGGAGACACCACCGAGUUCUGGGGCUUCUGAAUUGGUUGUCUCGUUUUGCUGACCCCCCCGAAGCUCUAGAUAAUGUUCUGAAAUAUCUCCCACAAAAGGAUCGAGAAGAUGUGAAGGAACUUCUCUGUUGUGCCAUGGAAGAAUACCAGCCGUCCCAGGUGAAGCUGCAGGACUUCUUCCAGUGUGGCACGUACGUCUGUCCGGAGGCCUUGAGUCUGGGUUUGCCAGAAUGGGUCCUAGUGGCUUUGGCCAAAGGUCAGCUAUCUCCUUUCAUCAGCGAUGCUUUGGUGCUAAGACGGACCAUUCUUCACACACAAGUGGAAAACAUGCAGCAACCAAAUGCCCACAGAAUAUCUCUGCCCAUCCGGCAAAUCAUCUAUGGGCUUCUUUUGAAUGUUUCUGCACCUCUGGGAAGUGUGUCCUUGAAUGCAUCGCCUCCUCGGUCUCUCGCUUUCAGCGAAGUGGAAAGGAUUAAUAAAAGCAUCAAAACAUCGGUUGUUGAUGCCGUAGACCUGCCCAAGGAUCAUCCUGACUUAAGCAGAUUGACUGAGCUUUCCUCAGCUAGACGGCAGACACUUCUUUUAGAAACGUUAAAGGUGAAACAGACCAUCCUGGACCCAAUCCCUACUUCUUUGAAGUUGCCCAUUGCUGUCAGUUGCUACUGGUUGCAGCACAUGGAGGCCAAGGCAAAACUACAUCAUCUACAAGCCUUGCUGCUGGGGAUGCUGCUGGGGCCCUUGCAUGCCAUAAUCAACAGCCCUGGAAUUGUGGACCUGGCUCCCAGGCAGGCUCAGUGCCUUGCUGCUCGCUAAUUGGUAAAAGAUAAAGAAGAUCUGCGGAAGGAUGGUGCUAAGAUGUUGUAUGAAGAGUUCCAAAGAGUGAAGGAGCAGACGCGGCCGGGCCCGAGACUGGAUUUAGACACAGCUCACAUCUUCUGUCAGUGGCAGAGCUGUCUGCUGAUGGGGAUGUAUCUUAAUCAGCUGCUGUUCACGCCUCUCCCAGAGCCAGACCUAACUCGAUUGUAUAGUGGAAGCCUGGUGCAUGGACUGUGCCGACAACUGCUAACAUCAACCUCUGUAGAAAGUCUUCUGAGCAAGUGUCCUGAGGCCAUGCAACUUUAUGAACACCUAUUCAAUGCCACAAGGUCAUAUGCCCCUGCUGAAUUAUUCCUACCAAAGGGUAAAUCAAAUUCUAAAAAGAAAAGGCGAAAGAAACAAGGUGCCAGCCGGUCAAAGAACAGUGUGGGAACCCUCUCAGACAACAGAUGCUGGUAUGAGAGGAGCAAUCGGUUUGGGCCAUUAAUGGUUGAAAACAUGGAGGAACAUACUGAGGCCUCAGAGUUUGAAUAAACUCAGUCUGCAACCAGAUGUAUUAUUCUUACUUGAAAUUUUUUUGUUAUCUGCCUUGAAAUGAUUAACUUUUUUUUAGAACUAACCUGUUAGGGGACAUUACAAUAGGUAAUCUCUGAAUUCCAAGAUAUUUUGUAUUCUGUUUUUAAUAAAUACAACCUGAUUUAAGAA